UACGUAGGGGCGAGCGUUGUCCGGAUUCAUUGGGCGUAAAGCGCGCGUAGGCGGCCCGCAAGUCGGCCGUGAAAUCUCCCAGCUCAACUGGGAGGGUCGGGCGAGACUGCGGGGCUCGAGGUGGGUAGAGGGCAGUGGAAUUCCGGGUGUAGUGGUGGAAUGCGUAGAGAUCCGGAGGAACACCAGUGGCGAAGGCGGCUGCCUGGGCCUGGCCUGACGCUGAGGCGCGAAAGCGUGGGAGCGAGUCCGG
rnacentral:rRNA from 1 species